rnacentral:rRNA from 1 species
GACAGAGGUGCCGAGCGUUAGGCGGAAUCACUGGGCUUAAAGCGUGUGUAGGCGGGUCGUUAAGUGUCUUGUGAAAUCCCACCGCUCAACGGUGGAACUGCUGGGCAUACUGGCGAUCUUGAGCCACCUAGGGGCAGACGGAACAAGCGGUGGAGCGGUGAAAUGCGUAGAUAUCGCUUGGAACGCCGACGGUGAAAACAGUCUGCUGGGGGUGUGGCUGACGCUGGAGACACGAAAGCCAGGGGGAGCGAACGGGG